rnacentral:rRNA from 1 species
CGAGAAGAGAAUUCUAAGGCGCGCGGAAGAACUCUCGUUAAGGAACUCGGCAAAAUGACCCCGUAACUUCGGGAGAAGGGGUGCGUCGGUAGGGUGAAGUAGCCCGAGGGGGCCGCAGUGAAAAGGCCCAAGCGACUGUUUAGCAAAAACACAGGUCUGUGCGAAGCCGCAAGGCGAAGUAUACGGCUGACGCCUGCCCGGUGCUGGAAGGUUAAGGGGAGUGGUAAGCCUUCGGGCGAAGCUAUGAACCGAAGCCCCAGUAAACGGCGGCCGUAACUAUAACGGUCCUAAGGUAGCGAAAUUCCUUGUCAGGUAAAUUCUGACCCGCACGAAUGGCGUAACGACUUGGGCGCUGUCUCAACGAGAGAUCCGGUGAAAUUUUAAUACCUGUGAAGAUGCAGGUUACCCGCGACAAGACGGAAAGACCCCAUGGAGCUUUACUGCAGCUUGAUAUUGAAUUUGGGUACGAUCUGUACAGGAUAGGUGGGAGCCGUUGAACUUUGAGCGCCAGCUUGAAGGGAGGCAUCCUUGGGAUACCACCCUGAUCGUAUCUAGGUUCUAACUUGGUACCGUGAUCCGGUGCGAGGACAGUGUCAGGUGGGCAGUUUGACUGGGGCGGUCGCCUCCUAAAGAGUAACGGAGGCGCCCCAAGGUUCCCUCAGAAUGGUUGGAAAUCAUUCGAAGAGUGCAAAGGCAGAAGGGAGCUUGACUGCGAGACCUACAAGUCGAGCAGGGACGAAAGUCGGGCUUAGUGAUCCGGUGGUACCGCAUGGAAGGGCCAUCGCUCAACGGAUAAAAGCUACCCUGGGGAUAACAGGCUUAUCUCCCCCAAGAGUCCACAUCGACGGGGAGGUUUGGCACCUCGAUGUCGGCUCAUCGCAUCCUGGGGCUGAAGUAGGUCCCAAGGGUUGGGCUGUUCGCCCAUUAAAGCGGUACGCGAGCUGGGUUCAGAACGUCGUGAGACAGUUCGGUCCCUAUCUGUCGUGGGCGUAGGAAAUUUGAGAGGAGCUGUCCUUAGUACGAGAGGACCGGGAUGGACGUACCGCUGGUGUACCAGUUGUUCCGCCAGGAGCACCGCUGGGUAGCUAUGUACGGAAGGGAUAAGCGCUGAAAGCAUCUAAGCGUGAAGCCCCCCUCAAGAUGAGAUUUCCCAAUUAGUAAGACCCCUUGGAGACGACGAGGUAGAUAGGUUGGGGGUGGAAGUGCAGUAAUGCAUAGAGCU